rnacentral:lncRNA from 1 species
CUGGGAUGUCGUUGCAUUCCACUGACAGAUCGCAGAGUGCCAUGCACAAAGCAAUCUCAGCACCUGGCACCAACUCUUGAAUCUGGAGCCUAAUGGCAGGUAGACAUGUGCAAUUCGUUUUGGGCCGAAUAUGAAUUCAGACGAAUUUCAGAAAAUUCGGACAUUCGGGUACUUCUGAAUUGCAGAGGUUCCGAAAUUGCCAAAGUUCUGAAGUGCCGAAGUUCCAAAAGCACAGUAUUGCCUAAGUACUAAUAUACUUACCCAGUGGAAGAAGAAGAAUGUUACACUGUAUACAAUUUUAAAUAAAAAGUAUACAAACAUAGCCAGGAUUCAGCUGUAAGCAUUUGCAAUACUUACAACAAUCAAGUAACAUACAUUCAUAUAAAAUGUAAGUUACUUGGCCAGUCAGUGUAAUGACAGGAAUGAAUACGUAGAUAACUCCCUAAUUCCCACGGUAUUAGGGAGCUAUCUACUAAAAGGCUGAAAGACCCGAAUUGGUCUUUCAGCCAAAUUUACUAAUACUAAGUAAAGAUUACUAUUAGUAAAUUAUGCCCCUACUCGCUAUACCGCGAGUAGGGGCAUGUCUAUUAAACAGUGAGCAGCCUGUGGCAGCUCACUUUAAAAAAAAGUCCCCCCUUCCCCUCCUAACCUGAAGGGGGGGACCUAUUGCCCCCCCCCCCCGGCCCCCACCACUGAAUGGCGGGUGGGGGCCCUAAAGUAAAAUAAGGGGGGGGGGACUUAUUGUCCUCCCCCCGACCCCCACCCAUGAGCGGCUGGCCCUAAAGUAAAGUAAUGGGGGGGGGGAACCUAAUGUCCUCCCCCCUGGCCCCCACCCCUGAGCAGUGGGUGCGGGCCCUAAAUACUAAUGGGGGGACCUAAUGUCCUCCCUCCUGGCCCCCACCCCUGAGCAGUGGGUGGGGGCCCUAAAAUACUAAUUAGGAGGGGGACCUAAUGUCCUCCCUCCUGGCCCCCACCCCUGAGCAGUGGGUGGGGGCCCUAAAAUACUAAUGGGGGGGACCUAAUGUCCUUCCCCCUGGCCCCCACCCCUGAGCGGUGGUCUUUCAGCCUUUUGGUAUAUAACGCCCUAAUACCGUGGGAAUUAGGGAGUUAUCUACCAAGCGGCUACAAGAGACGUUCCGAAUUGCAGAGGUCCUGAAGUUCCAAAAUUACCGAAUUUCCGAAGCGUCAAAGUCCCGAAUUUCGAAAUGCCGAACUGAACCGAAAAUUUUUCCCAUGCACAUGUAACGGAUCACCUGGCACCCCGACUGGGUACCAUCGUUAUUGGAUGCUCCUAGCGCUUACAGAGGGCUCCAAGCGCUCCGCAGACAUCGAAACCACCACAGACCCCACGAACCGUCGCAGCUUGGUUGGGGUCUCGCCGUCUUCUACCCACCCUGGACCCACGACAAGGCUCCAGGUUCCAGAGGGUGCAACUCUCCUCCAAGAGAGUGAAGCAGGAACAAGCUCUUAAAAGAGCUUAGAAGUGAUCAUCCAAGGGAGCAUGCAGAACAUAGCAAUCCCUUGUAGUGAUAUAGCAUUUCCCCCAAUAAGAGACAGGACUCUAGAUUGAGGGUGAAGAAGAACUCUAGUUUAAUGACACACACUCUGCUUUUAUGCAAUUCUCCCCUGCAAGGGAGACGCCCACAGACAAUUAUACAAUACCCAAUCACACAAUGGUUACAUACACACAUCUCCUCCCCUUAGUCUGAGAGGUAACCCAAUUAUCCGUACAUUUUAAAACAUACUUUUUACCCAACUUUCAUAACUCUAAAACCAUACAUACAAUAUUUAAAAAGUCACAUAUUAUUAAUCAGCACAUUCCAAAUACAAACAUACCCAAAAAUCAUUCGAAUCCAAAGGACAGGCUAUUUCAGAUGCUGCCAGUUCUCAGUAUACUCUUGCGACCCAUUUUUUUGUCUGCCUGGUGUGGUCCACCAUUUUGACCAAUACACAGAGGCAAUUAGGCAACCAAUUAAUUAGCCUAGUUAUCAAUUUAGAAGGCACAAGCAUGUUUAAAGUACAUAUUGGUUUGUUUCAUCUUGCUUCAAGGCUAUUUUCAAGCUUGGCUUAUCUAUGAAGGAAAAGGCUGUAUGCUGGGCUUAUUCUAGUGCCUGUGAAAGCCAACCUCAUUGUGGAGCACAUGCAGGGGUUGAUGUGUCUCCAAUAACAGAAAAGGAAUGUACACACAGGUUGUGAUUCAUCUCCUCUACCAGUAAAUGCAUGUGCAAGUUAUCUUCUGUCUUGGUGCAAAUUACCCAAAUAUGUACUGCUUAACGGUCUGUGAGCAAUGUUCAGACCACCUGUUUGUUUUUUUUCUUUCUUGCCUUUAAACACACUAAGAUAUUUGGUACACUUGUUUCAGUUAAAGCACUGGUAAGACCUGUUACGUUUUAUACAUACUGGGUCUAUGUGACUUUUUCUAUCAUAUUUCUCCCAAAUAUUCAAUUAUUUAUAUAGUGCCAACUAAUUCUGUGAUGCUGUACAAUAAAUGAACACAAAUAAUUCUACAAAACGUGUUUUGACAUACUGGAACGGUAGGUGAGAGGGACCUACCCAAUUAAGCUUAUCUAAACGCUUGGGUUUUUCCUUGGACAAUGUGAAUUCCUCUACAGUUUUACCAUUAAUAGGGUUGUUUUUAACUCUAAACCAAAGUAUGAAUUAAAUAUGUUAACUCUGCUCAGUUGUGUCUGAUUAGUAUCAGAUCCCCUGCUGUCUGUGCAGUAAUGAGAUAAAAUAAAUUUUACCCUUGAGAUUAUAACUCUUUAUUAGACUGAGAAUUUACCUUCCUGUGAAUCAUCUACAUUUUGGAUCUAUUUUUUUUUUCUACAUAUGAAAGGUGUAUCUUAAAUCGAAUUCUAGGGCUUAUGGGUGAUCUGUUUUUUUCUAUGCUGGCCUGGUUUUAUAAGGGUUAAAUUGUCAUCUACGAAGACAAUUGAGUUUCACCAACAUUUAUUGACUCCCUAUUUAACAUUCCUGAUAUGUCAGAUUCAGGUCAGGUGGAGAGCAAGGGUUCUGGUACUUAGACACUAGGCUGUCUUAGAGUCUCUCUCUUUCCUCUCUACAGUGACUGUUACCAAGUCAGUCUCUAAACUAGGGCUGUCCAACCUGCGGCCCCCCAGAUGUUGCUGAACUACAACUCCCAUGAUUCCCUGGCUAUCUUUUUAAUUGAAAGAAUCAUGGGAGUUGUAGUUCAACAACAUCUGGGGGGCCGCAGGUUGGACAGCCCUGCUCUAAACAUUCAAGCAGCAGCUUGUGAGCCCUUCCGUGGAUUUCUAAGUUCCAUCUUAGCUGUGCUUUGGAUAAUAGGUGUAGUCCCUCCCUUGAAGCAAUCAAUUGUUUUUUUUCUUUUCACUUCCAGUUUUUCUAAGCUGUUCUUUCUGAUUAUACAUUAUUUCAGUAGUUUUACUAAUGAUUGAUUUUAUUGUAAUCUGGAUCUAUAGAUUGUUUUUCCCCCUCGGUCUAUAUUUUAGACUAUACAUAUAACAAUUUUAGGAUGUGUUUCCCUGUCUAGUAUGAAACCCAGACUUGCUGGUAUUAGAAAAUUCACAGCUUUUUUAUUUUUACUUUAUGUCCACAGUGAGCAUUUAGUUUUCAUAGUUUCUUUUAAUAACCUAUUAUACAGGUGAUACUCGAAAAAUUAGUUCAUUUAUUUCAGUAAUGCAACGUAAAAGGGGAAACUAAUAUAUGAGAUAGACGCAUUUCACGCAAAACAAGAUAGUUUAAGCCGUGAUUUGUCAUAAGUGUGAUGAUUAUGGCUCACAGCUCAUGAAAACCCCAAAUCGACAGUCUCAGUAAAUUAGAAUAUUACAUGCAAUCAAUAAAACAAGGAGUGUACAUAGAACAAUAUCGGACCUCUGAAAAGUAUAAACAUGCAUAUGGACUCAGUACUUGGUUUGGGCCCCUUUUGCAGCAAUUACUGCCUCAAUGCGGCGUGGCAUGGAAGCUAUCAACCUGUGGCACUGCUGAGGUGUUAUGGAAGACCAGGAUGCUUCAAUAGCGGCCUUCAGCUCUUCUGCAUUGUUCGGUCUCAUGUCUCAUCUUUCUCUUGGCAAUGCCCCAUAGAUUCUCUAUGGGGUUCAGGUCAAGCGAGUUUGUUGGCCAAUCAAGCACAGUAAUCCCACAGUCAUUGAACCAGGCUUUGGUGCUUUUGGCAGUGUGGCAGGUGCCAAGUCCUGCUGGACAAUUAAGUCUGCAUGCCCAUAAAGCUCAUCUACGGAAGGAAGCAUGAAGUGCUUAAAAAUCUCCUGGUAGACGGCUGCGUUAACCCUGGACUUAAGGAAGCACAGUGGACCAACACCAGCACAUGACAUGGCUCCCCAAAUCAACACAGACUGUGGAAAAUUCACACUGGACCUCUAGCAUCUUGCCUUGGUUUCCAAAUAAGAUGCAAAAGUUGCUCUCAUCCGAAAAGAGGACUUUGGACCACUGUGCAACAGACCAGUUCUGUUUUUCUUUAGCCCAAGUAAGACGCUUCUGACGUUGUUUGUUGUUCAGGAGCAGUUUAACAAGAGGAAUACGACCAGGGUCGGACUGGCCCACCGGGAUACCGGGAAAUUUCACGGUGGGCUGUCGGCACCUGGGGCCAGGCAGGCAGCUGGCUCUUCUGGCGGCCGAAGAGGGAGCUCCUUUGGCGGCCGCAGGGGGAGCUGGCUGUUCUGUCUCUGCUCCCCCUCCCCUGCAAGCCGCUUAGUGAGACCGGAGCCGGAAUAUGACGUCAUAUUCCGGCCCCGGUCUCAUUAAGCGGCGCUCGGGGGGGGGAGAGACAGAACAGCCAGCUCCCCCUGCGGCCGCCAAAGGAGCUCCCUCUGCGGCCGCCAGAAGAGCCAGCUCCCCCAUGCGGCCGCCAUCAGAGCUCCCCACAGGUAGAAAUUGUGUAUGUGUGUGUGUGUCUGUGUCAUUUGUGUGUGUAUCUGUCUGUGUCAUGGUAUGUGUGUGUGUGUAUGUCUGUCUGUGUCAUGGUGUGUGUCUGUCUGUGUCACGGUGUGUGUGUGUCUGUCAUGGUGUGUGUGUGUCUGUCUCUGUCUGUGUCAUUCAAUGUGUGUCUGUGUCAUGGUGUGUGUGUCACUGUCUGUCAUGGUGUGUGCAUCUGUCUGUGUCAUGCAAUGUGUGUCUGUCAUGGUGUGUGUGUGUAUCUGUCAUGUAAUGUGUGUCUGUCUGUGUCACGGUCUGUGUGUGUCAUGGUGUGUGUGUGUCUGUCUGUGUCAUGUAAUGUGUGUCUUCCUGUGUCAUGGUGUGGGUGUGUCUGUGUCACGGUCUCUCUGUGUCGUGGUGUAUGUGUCUAUGUGUCACGGUCUGUCUGUGUUAUGGUGUGUUUCAAGGUGUGUGUGUCUUUUUUAAGGUGUGUGUCUGUCAUGGUGUGUCUGUCUGUCAUGGUGUGUGUGUGUUUCUGUCUGUGUCACGGUCUGUCUGUGUCAUGGUGUGUGUCUGUCAUGGUAUGUGUGUGUGUAUGUGUGUUUUUACUCACCUUUCCCACCCCCCCACGUUGUGCUGGUCUCCCCUCGACUGGCCCUGCCUCUACGGCUGAGAUCAUCAAGCUUGAUGAUCUCAGCCAAUCCGCAAUGACACAGGAAGCACCUCUAGUGACCGUCUGAGUGUCUGUCACUAGGAAGCAAUGUAAACACUGCCUUUUCUCUAAAACGUCAGUGUUUACAUUGAAAAGCCUGCAGGGACAGGCUAUAGACACCAGAGCCACUACAUUAAGCUGUGUGUGUGUGUGUGUGUGCACGCUUGCUUGUGUAUGUGUGUGUGUGCCUGCUACUGAGUGAGCUUGUGUUUUUAUGUCAAUGACCUUAUGUAUGAGGCUGUGUAUCAAUCAGCUUGUGUCAGUGAGAUUGUCUGUGUCUGCAUGUGAGUAUGCUUACUGUAUAAUUAAAAAUUUUACUCUGAAAGGACCAAUAUUUUAUAUUGGAAAAAGCAAUAUAUAUAUAUCAAUCAUCUAGGGUGGCAAGACAUAGCCUUACAUAUUACAUGCGACAAUACAUGGCGCAAUGACUUAUGGGGCUGGCAUAGAUUUUUUUUCCAGGGCUGCUUUGGAAUCCCCAGUCCGGCCCUGAAUACGACAUCUGAAGCCCAUGCCCACCUCUGUGUGGUGGCUCUUGAUGCACUGACUCCAGCCUCAGUCCACUCCUUGUGAAAGUCCCCAACACUUUUGAAUGUCCUUUUCCUUACAAUCCUCUCCAGGUUGCGGUCAUCCCUGCCGCUUGUCCACACUUUUCCCUUCCACAUAACUUUCUAUUAAUGUGCUUUGAUACAGCACUUUGGGAACAUCCAACUUCGUUCACAAUUACCCUUUGAGGCUUUCCCUCCUUAUGGAGGGUGUCAAUGAUGGUUUUCUGCACAACUGUCAGGUCAGCAGUCUUCCCCAUGGUUGUGAUUCCUACUGAACCAGACUGAGAGACCAUUUAAAGGCUUAGAAACCCUUUGCAGGUGUUAUGGCUUGUGACGAAGUGCCCUUCGCCACUUGUUCUUGGAGAGGCCUGCUUGCCAGCCUCUUGCCUUGUGACUAUGACCCCAGGGAAGUAUUGCCAUUUAAAAAGUCUGUUUGGGCUUAUUGGAUUUUGGGACACUUUUUCUGCCCCUUUGAAUCCAUGGGAAGGUGUGCCUCUUCCCCUCGCCCGUUUCCUGUCCCAUUGUUCUCCAGCAGGGCGUUGUCCCAGGGUCACUGCCAGACCAGUUGAAACUGGCUGCUUUGUCCCUCCUCAAUCUCUCUUCAGCCCCUUCUAUUUUUUAACCCCAUGGCGAUUUGAUUUUGUUUCUGGGAUCUGAGCACUGUUCGGAUAUAGUGAGCGAUUAGAUCCAAGCUAUCUGGGUAUAGGUCAAAUGUGGGGGUUCAGUUCUAUAGAAUAUUAGUUAUGUGUUUUAAAGGACCACUCUAGGCACCCAGACCACUUCAGCUUAAUGAAGUGGUCUGGGUGCCAGGUCCUUCUAGGGUUAACCCAUUUUUUCAUAAUUAUAGCAGUUUCAGAGAAACUGCUAUAAUUAUGAAUGGGUUAACUUUUCCCCAAAGCCUCUAGUGGCUGUCUCAUUGACAGCCACUAGAGGCGCUCGUGCUUCUCACUGUGAUUUUUCACAGUGAAACGCUAGAUCCAUAGGAAAGCAUUGUAAAUGCUUUCCUAUGAGACGACUGAAUCGCGCGCAGCUCUUGCGCGUGCGCAUUCAGCCGGCGGGCUAACGGAGGCGGAGAGGAGGAGGAGAGCUCUCCGCCCAGCGCUGGAAAAAGGUAAGUUUUUACCCCUUUCCCCCUUCCAGAGCCGGGCGGGAGUGGGACCCUGAGGGUGGGGGCACCCUCAGGGCACUAUAGUGCCAGGAAAACGAGUAUGUUUUCCUGGCACUAUAGUGGUCCUUUAAUGUAUUUUGUUGCAGUUGUGACUUAGUGAGAUUUUCUGUACCUGGAGAUAAUUGAGUUUACUACACUUACUUAACCCCUUAAGGACCAAACUUCUGGAAUAAAAGGGAAUCAUGACAUGUCACACAUGUCAUGUGUCUUUAAGGGGUUAAGCCAAUUAUCUCCAGGAUAGAGGAGAAGAUAGACCCGUGUGACGAAGUGCCCUUCACCACUUGUGCCUGGAGGGUACUACUGGCUAGCCUCCAGCCUUCCGACUAUGGCCCUUGUGCUGAUAGCUGUAUUUUCCCCUGAAAAAAGGUUUUUUUGUGUUCGGGACUUUCAGUAUGUGAGUAGUGCUACCCCAGAUAGCUAUGCCAUGGAGCCUAUUUGUGUAAUGAAAUACUAUGGAAAAGACUUUGGCUCCAUGACGAUUGAACUGUAUGUAGGUGAUCUGAGCGCCAUUCAGUAAUAAUGUGCGCUCAGAUCUAAGCUAUCUUGGGAUAUGUUGCAUGUAUAUGUUUUAUGUAGUAAUUGUAACAUUGUGUAAUUUUAUGUAUUUUUGUAACCAUGUGGUUAAUUGAGUCUUGCCUCUGUCCUGGGAGAUAAUUUGAUUACUUCCCAAUUAUCUCCAGGAUAGAGAGGAGGGAUUGUGAUGUCACUGCGGGAGUGUUUUGUUUGUAUUGUUUGUGAUUGGCUAAUAUCCAAUAUGUGUCCCGUUGUUCCAUCAGGUCCCUUAGGGCAGUGUCCACCUGGUGGACACUUGCAUAAAUACCGGGCAGGUAGCCCUCAAUAAACCAGACCUACUUGCACCUUUCUUGAAGCCUUGGCUCAUGCUUGGGGGAAGAGAUACCUACACUCUGGGGAUUGCUAUAAUCACUUACUCCCCAGAGUAAACUCUUGUAAGAGCUUGAUUUGUUCCUGCUACGCUCUCUGGAUUUAGGAGAGGUUCACCUACUGGGAGCUGGAUCCUGGCUGUGGAUCCAGGGUGGGUGAGAGACGGCGAGACUCCAGCACAGCUGCAUCGCUGGAAGUGGGGUCCACAGUGCUGAUGGUGUCGGUUGGAGUGCUUGGAGUCCUCGGCAAGCGCUAGGAGCAUCGAUUGGCAGAGGUACUCGGUCGGAGUGCCAGCGGUCCGUCACAACCGGCUACACAGCCUGAAUCUGUGGAACUGUUUUGGGAAGGAAAGCCAUGCUUGCAAUCGGUCAAAUAGGACUUCCACUUAACUUUUGAACCACUGGACCAAUUUGUAUAAUUUUGACAUAUGUUAUGCUGGUUGAGAAUAUGUGACUUUUGUGUGAAUUGCAUGCAUGGUUUGGAAGUUAUGAAUAUUGUGUAUAACUGUAUAUUUUCUGCCUGUGAUAAUUAAGUUAACCCAUUGUGUUCAGUAAUUAUAUCACAGGCAGAGGGGAGGGUUUGUGUGUCCUAACUGGGAGUGUCUGACUGUAUUGUAUUGUGUUUGAUUGGCUGUUCCACAAGACCAUGUGGGUGGUAACCUUGUGAGAAAAGUUGCAUAUAAGACAAUAAACCCUCAGACUGAUGAGUUUCUGUUUUACCCUCAACAAAGAGCCUCGUCUCAAGUGUGGGGGGGAAAAGGCUGAAUCUACACUGGGGAUUGCUAUACGCAGUAUAUUCCCCUGGCUAUAAUCACUAAGCUCUUUUAAGAACUUGUUCCUCCUUCGCUCUCUUAAGAAAGAGAGGUUCGGUCUGCAGUGCUUAUGGUGUCGAGUGGAGUGCUUGGAGCCCUCAGGAAGUACUAGAGCAUCCAUCAACUGAGGUACCCAGUCGGGGUGCCAGGUGAUCCGUUACAUGGCUUACUUAGCUGAUUAGAGCGGGACACUGUGAGCCUACAAUAUUGCACCUUUUCACAAUAUUCUAAUUUACUGAGAUUGUGGAUUUGGGGUUUUUAUGAGCUGCAAGCCAUAAUCAUCGCACUUAUGACAAAUCACGUCUUGAACUAUCUCGCUUUGCAUGUAAUGCGUCUAUCUCAUAUAUUAGUUUCCCCUUUUACGUAGCAUUACUGAAAUAAAUAAACUUUUGCACGAUAUUCUAAUUUUUCGAGUAUCACCUGUAGGUGUCGCUGGAGUAGCUAGUCCAGGCCUACGCUUUAAAAUAAGCUCAAAUGGCCACAAUAUAGAUGGACAGUUUUAUUUAUGAUUUCUGUGUUUCCAUUUUGGAAUGAGCUGCACCCACUACAAUGGUGCUACAACCAGAUCAAACAGACUUUUUUUUUUUUUUUUACAUAUAUUAUCAGUCUUCCACUAGUCAGCAUGUGCUGUGCACAGAGGCUGGGCUUCAUGUCGUGUGUAUGGCUUUACAGUGAGAUUGUGACAUCUCAAUCACACCUGGGGGAGUCUAGACAUUGUGUAAACCAGCAGUUGGUUUGAUUUUUAUCGCACAUGUAGGCCAUAAAUGCUAUGCAAUGGAAAUGGUCAUUCAGGUUCUCUUAUUAGGACCUAGGCUUUUGCAGCUCAAAAUAUGUCACAUCCAGAGGUGUAGAGUUUGGGAUAUAUGCAUUUUUUAACUUCUGUAAUAUAUGUGCUAUUAUGUAUGCAUCUAUAUGUAUAAUUUUGUUUUUGUUGAGUCCUCUUUUUAUUUUUUUCUAGUUAUAGAACAUUACCUAUGAGCAGAUAAUUGAAGCAUGGAGAAAGAUAUCCUGGUCUUCUGAUUUAUCAUGGAUCCUACCCGCAGCAGGAGGAACCAAAAGGUGAUAGCCCUCCAGCUUUUACCUGGCGAUACACACUGUGAGUGCAUUUCUUGUUGUACCAUACUAUACUUUACUAUGUUUGGUGUAUUUGUUUUCCUCGUUAGAUGCUUAGCUGAUUCCCAAAUAUUGUUUUUGUAUUGUGCUGUGUGCAGAUAUAUCUUACAGCUUUCCUUUCAUUGUUUAGAAGCAAUUUCCAAAGAUUAAGCCAUAGUCUACGGUAUUCGGUGUACUGCGAACAUUUUGCAAUCAGGACUGUAAUAAGCUUGCUACCUUAAGUUUUUAUAACACC